GUCACUGAUGGUCACUGAUGGUCAGUGAUGGUCAGUGAUGGUCAGGGAUGGUCAGGGAUGGUCAGGGAUGGUCAGUGAUGGUCACUCUGUGGUCAGUGAUGGUCACUGAUGGUCAGUGGUGGUCACUGAUGGUCAGUGAUGGUCAGGGAUGGUCACUGAUGUGAUGGUCAGUGGUCAGUGAUGGUCAGUGAUGAUCAG